rnacentral:rRNA from 1 species
AGUGAACGCUGGCGGUAGGCCUAACACAUGCAAGUCGAACGGCAGCACAGUAAGAGCUUGCUCUUACGGGUGGCGAGUGGCGGACGGGUGAGGAAUACAUCGGAAUCUACUUUUUCGUGGGGGAUAACGUAGGGAAACUUACGCUAAUACCGCAUACGACCUACGGGUGAAAGCAGGGGAUCUUCGCACCUUGCGCGAUUGAAUGAGCCGAUGUCGGAUUAGCUAGUUGGCGGGGUAACGGCCCACCAAGGCGACGAUCCGUAGCUGGUCUGAGAGGAUGAUCGGCCACACUGGAACUGAGACACGGUCCAGACUCCUACGGGAGGCAGCAGUGGGGAAUAUUGGACAAUGGGCGCAAGCCUGAUCCAGCCAUACCGCGUGGGUGAAGAAGGCCUUCGGGUUGUAAAGCCCUUUUGUUGGGAAAGAACAGCAGCAGGUUAAUACCCCGCUGUUCUGACGGUACCCAAAGAAUAAGCACCGGCUAACUUCGUG